rnacentral:rRNA from 1 species
CAGCCGCCGCGGGAAUACGUAGGUCCCGAGCGUUGUCCGGAUUUAUUGGGCGUAAAGCGAGCGCAGGCGGUUAGAUAAGUCUGAAGUUAAAGGCUGUGGCUUAACCAUAGUACGCUUUGGAAACUGUUUAACUUGAGUGCAAGAGGGGAGAGUGGAAUUCCAUGUGUAGCGGUGAAAUGCGUAGAUAUAUGAAGGAACACCGGUGGCGAAAGCGGCUCUCUGGCUUGUAACUGACGCUGAGGCUCGAAAGCGUGGGGAGCAAACAGGAUUAGAUACCCGCGUAGUCCCUGUCUCUUAUACA